rnacentral:rRNA from 1 species
UACAGAGGGUGCGAGCGUUAAUCGGAAUUACUGGGCGUAAAGCGCGCGUAGGCGGCUUUGCAAGUCGAGUGUGAAAUCCCCAGGCUUAACCUGGGAACUGCAUUCGAGACUGCAUAGCUAGAGUAUGGGAGAGGGAAGUGGAAUUUCAGGUGUAGCGGUGAAAUGCGUAGAUAUCUGGAGGAAUACCGGUGGCGAAGGCGGCAUCCUGGACCGACAUUGACGCUGAUGAGCGAAAGCUAGGGGAGCAAACGGG